rnacentral:lncRNA from 1 species
CGGGGCGGGCAUGGGGCGGCGCCGGUGGGGUCACAGGCCAUAGGAGGGGGGCGGUGGGGUGGGCGUGGCACACAACGGAACUGGCCGCCGGCCCGUGUGUGGGUGGGGAAAAGGAGGGAGGAGCCACGUGGACGCCGCCGCGAUCGCCCGUUGGGUCGGGUCGGGUCGGGUGGAGUCGCGCCGGGCGGAUUUUCUGGGUCCGGCUGAGGGCGGGGUCACGGGAUCGGGAUGCCGGCGUGGCCGAGACGAGAUGCCGAUUCCGGAGAAUAGCCGCGGUGUCGGGGUAGAUAUGCGGCAGCGGCGGCGAGGUGCUGAUUCCGACGAGUGGCCGCGUGGGAUAUGCCGGAGUAGC